UAUGCUGGGAUUUUCUUCUGGGUGGGGAGACAGCGAAAACUGCGAUGUGAGGAGAGCUUGGAUGUUGUCUCACCAGAAGCAAGGUUAAAAUUUUGCUGGGUUGAUGUGCUGAAAGAACUACACAUUGUGUUAGUGGUUAUGAUGUCACCAUAGCAGCAUACUCCUUAACAGACCUCUACCUUCCUAAAAUGGAAAAUGCCAGGCUAUUUGUUUCUCCAGAGUCCAAUGGACUUUCCUGUGCUUGUGCUGUGUAAUUUCCAUAUUCGUUCACACCCACUGAAUGAACAACAAGAGCAAAUAAUGUUUUGAAGCGACAUACAGAGAGCAAGAAUGCAUUUCUGUUUCGUUACAUUGCGUAACUUCCGGUCAGGUAGUCUCUACUGUAAUUUAAGUUGAUUUCGUAAUAUAAUAAUAAUAAUAAGAGUGUUGCAAUCAACUUGGCAUACGUGUUUACUUGAACUGUUGACGUCAAUUCAAAAAGUUUUGGAAGUAUUUAUUUGAAAAUCGCAAAUUUCAGGCAUAAAAAUAAUCAACAUAAAAAAUAACACUUCUUGAAUGAG